rnacentral:rRNA from 1 species
CGAGUGAAGCGGGAAAAGCUCAAAUUUAAAAUCUGGCGGUCUGUGGCCGUCCGAGUUGUAAUCUAGAGAAGUGUUACCCGUGCUGGACCGUGUACAAGUCUCCUGGAAUGGAGCGUCAUAGAGGGUGAGAAUCCCGUCUCUGACACGGACUCCCAGUGCUUUGUGGUAUGCUCUCAAAGAGUCGAGUUGUUUGGGAAUGCAGCUCAAAAUGGGUGGUAAAUUCCAUCUAAAGCUAAAUAUUGGCGAGAGACCGAUAGCGAACAAGUACCGUGAGGGAAAGAUGAAAAGAACUUUGGAAAGAGAGUUAAACAGUACGUGAAAUUGCUGAAAGGGAAACGCUUGAAGUCAGUCGCGUUGGCCGGGGAUCAGCCUCGCUUUUGCGUGGUGUACUUUCUGGUUGACGGGUCAGCAUCAAUUUUGACCGCUGGAAAAAGGUUUGAGGAAUGUGGCAGCUCCGGCUGUGUUAUAGCCUCUAGUCAUAUACAGCGGUUGGGAUUGAGGAACUCAGCACGCCGCAAGGCCGGGUUUCGACCACGUACGUGCUUAGGAUGCUGGCAUAAUGGCUUUAAGCGACCCGUCUUGAAACACGGACCAAGGAGUCUAACAUGCCUGCGAGUGUUUGGGUGGUAAACCCGAGCGCGUAAUGAAAGUGAAAGUUGAGAUCCCUGUCGUGGGGAGCAUCGACGCCCGGACCAGAACUUUUGGGACGGAUCCGCGGUAGAGCAUGUAUGUUGGGACCCGAAAGAUGGUGAACUAUGCCUGAAUAGGGUGAAGCCAGAGGAAACUCUGGUGGAGGCUCGUAGCGAUUCUGACGUGCAAAUCGAUCGUCAAAUUUGGG